AGGCCAAAAACUCUUGAGACUUGUGAGUUAAAAGAGUCAUCCAAAGUCGAAUCAUAAACGUCUUUAGACAGGUGAUAAUAAUCAACUUCCAUAAUUCAAGAUCAUCUAACAGUUGUCAAAAUUUUACUAAGUUAUGUAGCAAAAUGUUGUCGAUGAUCAACCAAUGUCAUUCCACCGACAUUGGCUAGUGGUAAUUUCAGGUGUUUGUGUUGGUCGAAGGCAAGGUAAGUUGUCGAGUUAUCGUUUAGUUGAUGUCGGUAGGUUCGUUUAGGUCUUUUGGUAGGCAGACAGUUAAUUAAAUGACUAAUGUAAAUCAUAGGUGAUUGGUUGGUAUGGUGAUAUUCUGUCGGUCGACGAUAUUUUGUUAAUAGAUGGUUAGUCGAUGCUAUUGAUAUAUCUUUCUACAAGACUGCUUCUUUCACUAAAGUCCAGAUCCGAAGAACAACGAUAUUUGCAUUGCCGCAUUGGAGGGGAUGUAUCUUCGACAGCCAUGGGAUAGCUUGAGUUAGUGACAUCUCUGUUAGGAACUUAGAAUAGGAAACCGGGUUCUGGGUCAGGGUGGGUUGGGUGUUCGGGUUCGGGAAGGGAUCAUGGGCUAGUCCAAGACCAAAAGAAAAAAAAAUAAAAACCUCUGCAAUUGUUCUCUGCUGUACCGGAUUGCGCAUUACGACGUCGUUUAAGAAAGCGGUGAAAAAUUGAAAAUGGCUUCUGCACCUAGAAAAAGGAAAAAAAAAAAAAAAGAAAAGAAAAGAUGGUAUAAAUAGCGGUGACAACAAUAGCAAUUAGGAUUUAGGACCUACUUGCGGGGGCUUCCAUUCAUAGAGAGAUCACAGAUUUCAGAUUAGAGAAAGGUGAUUGUUUCAUGGAAACGACUUAACGUCAUAGGUAGAAGACUGGAGAUCCUACUGGUUAAUGAGAUAACCCUGUUUGGCAGGGUCCGAAGAGUGUAGAUGCAUCAACUUUCACAAUCAAUCUGUUAAAUUCAGAAUACUGCUAAUCUGCUAUCAGUAAAUUGAGGUUGAUAACUUGAUAUUAUUUGUUACUAAGAUAUAGUUUUUCAUUUUUUUUUAUCUGAAAAAAAGAGCUGAUAUUUGAGAUUACCAUUUAAUCACACUGAAGAGUUUUAUUUUUAAUUCUUUCCUUAUUGAGAAAAUGCAACUUCCCUGAAAUUUCUGGUUGCAGUAUCAAUCUCAUGCCUCUUUAUUUUGGCAAUAACAGUCUUUUGUCCCUUCUUGUUUGGAUUUUUUGUUUCCUAUUUUCAGUUAAUAUUCUGGACGUUUCAGUUCAACUUAAGGUUUCAAGAAAACUCAGUGUUAACUGUUAUGCCGUUAUGGUGAUAAGUCUUGAGUAUCAUUUAUCUGAUCUCAGUCAAUUGACACACACUUAUUGUAGUUAUCAUUCAUAUCAGUAACUUUCCUUUUAAGGGAUGCUGUAAUAAUAUAUAAGAAAUCCAUUGUAGGAUUGCAUAUUUCUCUUCUUGGAAAAGUGGGGUUAUGAAAGCCAAUUAUCUGGUUGCAUCAUCAUUCAUUCAUUCAUUCGUCAAAGAGUGCGUAGCUAACUGGAAAACUAACAUGUCAGCAUCACUUCUGGAUAUUCUGAUUGUUGAAUCAUUUACUAAUCAUUUUCUCAUUCGAUACGCAAUCCUGUUUUUGAUUAUUCUCUAGAGAUAAAGUGAUACAUUGACAGUUAUUUUGAAUCAGAUGGAGCAGUAAUUACUUAUAGUCAUUGGGUAUAUAUAUUUUUUUCUAACUGUACUUAGGUUAAAAUGUUUUGACUUUUGAUCAUUCCAUACUUGUCUUCCACUGAAUUUUCAGAUUGGAGUUAAUUUGAAUUACAUGAAGGAUGUUGGAGAAUUUAAACUGCAUGUGUAAAAAGAGCAUUUCUUUGGUGAAGAAAGGGCUAAAGUGGCAUCAGCAUUACAUGAAAGGGGUGGCAAGGGUGACACAAAUAGAAAGAAUGAUGAUCCUAGAGUCUGUGGACACAGUAACAGUGAUGUUGAUGGUGCCAUGUGAGUGCUUUGUUGUACAAUUGUUUUUAUUUGUAAUGAAAUUGAAAGAACACUGUUGUAUAUAAUAUCAUAUGGUGAUAGAAUGUGUUUCAAUUCAUUUGCAUUCUUUUUUCUUUUUCUUUUUCUUUUUCAAAAUCUUGUCAUCUUUGUCUUAAUCCUAUCACCCGAGUAACAUUAUUGAUGAGUUGACAAAACGUGCUUCCAAGAUAUUACUUUAGCUUGGUAAUAACAAAGCAAGGUUCCUUU